UACGAAGGGGGCAAGCGUUGUCCGGAUUUAUUGGGCGUAAAGAGCGUGUAGGCGGCCAGGUAGGUCUGCUGUGAAAACUCGAGGCUUAACCUCGAGCUGUCGGCGGAAACCAUCUGGCUAGAGUCCGGAAGAGGAGAAUGGAAUUCCCGGUGUAGCGGUGAAAUGCGCAGAUAUCGGGAGGAACACCAGUGGCGAAGGCGGCUACCUGGCCCACUCUUGACGCUGAGGCGCGAAAGCUAGGGGAGCAAACGGG
rnacentral:rRNA from 1 species